rnacentral:lncRNA from 1 species
AACAAAUCUUAGUCUUUUCAAAUGUAAAUAAAUAGGUUAUUUGCAAGAAACUCAUUGUACAUUUAAUUUGUCUAUGACUAUUGUUUUGAUCAUUUUUAUUGUUGAAAAAGGUUUCUUUAUUGUUGUUAUUGAGACGGGAAGUAUCAAACCAAUACAAACAUAGCUAUAAAGUGUGUGGUGCUAGUGGGCUGAGAGCGUGUGGGUCUACAAUUGUAUUACUUUAUUUGUUAAAUAAAC